GGCAAAGCUCGAAGCCAAGCGUUGCAGGGACAGCGUGAAGCUGAGCGUUGCAGAGGUGGCUGGAAAAUGAGCACUGCGAGCACAGCUCCAAGCCGAGCACGGCAGGGACGGCUCGAAGCUGAGCUUUGCAAGCACGACUCAAAAAUGAGCAUUGCAAGCGCGGCUCCAAGCUGAGUGUCACAGAGACGGCUCCAAGCCAAGCAUUGCACGCAUGGCCUGAAGCCGAGUGCGGCAGGGACGGCUCGAAAAUGAGCAUUGCAGGCAAAGCUCAAAGCCAAGUGUUGCAAACACAGCUCGAAAAUGAGCAUUCAGGCACGGCUCCAAGCCGAGUGUUGCAGGGACGGCUUGAAAAUGAGCACUGCGAGCACGGCUCGAAGCUGAACGUGGCCGGGACAGCGUGAAGCCGAGCGUGGCAGGGAUAGUUUGAAAAUUAGCAUUGCAAGCACGGUUCAAAGAUGAGCAUUACAGGGACGGCUUGAAGCUGAGCGUGGCAGGGACAGCUCAAAAAUGAGCAUCGCAGGCACAGUGUGAAGCUGAGCUUUGCAGAGACGGCUCAAAAAUGAGCCUGGCAAGCACAGCUCGAAGCCAAGCAUUGCAAAAACAGCUCGAAAAUGAGCGUUCAGGCACGGCUCCAAGCCGAGCAUCGCAGGGACAGCGUGAAGCCGAGCGUUGCAAGCACGGCUCGAAGCUGAGCGUGGCAGGGACGGCUCGAAAACAAGCACUGCAUGCAUGGCUCGAAGCCGAGCUUUGCAAGCACGGCUUGAAAAUGAGCUUUGCAAGCACGACUCCAAGCCGAGCGUUGCAGGGACGGCUGAAAAACGAGCGUUGCGCGCGUGGCUCAAAGCCGAGCUUCGCAGAGGUGGCUGGAAAAUGAACGUCGCAAGCACAGCUCGAAGCCGAGCACGGCAGGGACAGCGUGAAGCUGAGCGUUGCAAGCAUGUCUUGAAUCUGAGCGUGGCAGGGACGGCUCAAAAAUGAGCAUUGCGCCCAUGCCUCGAAGCCGAGCGUUGCAAGCACGGCUUGAAAAUAAGCGUUGCAAGCACAGCUCCAAGCCGAGCGUUGCAGGGACGGCUUGGAAACGAGCGUUACAGGCAAAGCUCAAAAACGAGCGUUGCACGCGCAGCUCCAAGCCGACCGUUGCACGCCCGGCGCGGUUCGCCAACGUUUUGGGGCCGGGGCCCCGCUUCUCCCGGCCCGGCCUGCAAACGCCCCGCAGCGCCGCGCUGCGCCGAGCCGCCGCACGCUCCCUGCGAGGCCGCGUUUCUCCCCCUGCCGCCCGGGAUCGCYGCAGCCCCCCUCCGUCCUCCCGCUGUGCCUGUGCCGCAGGCCGGCCCCCGCCGUUUGGGGGGUCGGUUUUGCAGAAAGAGAGCAGGGGAUUUGCAAAAUUUGGAGGGGUUUGCACCCCUUUUAGCCGUUUGCGGGGUCGGUUUUGCAGAAAGAGCAGGGGAUUUGCAAAAUUUGGAGGGGUUUGCACCCCUUUUAGCCAUUUGGGGUGUCGGUUUUGCAGAAAGAGCCUGGGAUUUGCAAAAUUUGGAGGGGUUUGCACCCCUUUUAGCCGUUUGGGAGGGCGGUUUUGCAAAGAGGGCAGGGAAUUUGCGCCCGUUGGAGGGUUUUAGGGGUCUUUUUUGCAAAGAAGGCCUGGGAUUUGCAACCUCGGAGGGGUUUGCGGGUCAUUUUUGCAAGAAGAGCCCGGCAUCGGCACCCUUCGGAGUCACUCCGGGUCCCGGCGUCGCGCCUCCCGCCAGCUCCAUUGCGAGGACGCCGCCCUCCCGGCUCGGUGACCCCGUCUACUCCCUUCGCCGACCUCGGGGAUGUCACCGGCUGCGGCAGCAGGUCGGGGCGGGUCGCGCCGGCGCCCUCCRUCCUCCUCUUCGUAGCGGGGCGAAGGCCUGCGGAAAUAAAGGCUGCGUCCCGCCUUCGCUCCCCA
ensembl:lncRNA